AUUGAACGCUGGCGGCAGGCCUAACACAUGCAAGUCGAACGAGUGGCGGACGGGUGAGUAAUGUCUGGGAAACUGCCUGAUGGAGGGGGAUAACUACUGGAAACGGUAGCUACUACCGCAUACCAUCGGAUGUGCCCAGCUGGGAUUAGCUAGUAGGUGGGGUAAAGGCUAACCUAGGCGACGAUCCCUAGCUGGUCUGAGAGGAUGACAAGCCACACUGGAUCUGAGCCACGGUCCAGCUUCCGACGGGAGGCAGCAGGGGGGAAUAUGGCACAAUGGGCGCAAGCCUGAUGCAGCCGUGCCGCGGGGAUGAAGAAGUCCUUCGGGUUGUAAAGUACUGUCAGCGGGUAGGCGUUACCCGCAGUAGAAGCACCGGCUAACUCCGUGCCAGCAGCCGCGGUAAUAC
rnacentral:rRNA from 1 species